CCCUUAGAUGUCCUGGGCCGCACGCGCGCUACACUGAGUGUCUGAGAUACGAGUCUGCCUGGUCCGGCAAGGUCUAGGUAAUCGCUAAAAGACACAUCAUGCUUGGGAUAGAUUAUUGCAAAUAUUAAUCAUGAACGAGGAAUUCCUAGUAAGCGCAAGUCAACAGCUUGCGUUGAUUACGUCCCUGCCCUUUGUACACACCGCCCGUCGCUACUACUGAUUGGAUGUUUAAGCGAGGUUCUCGAACUGCUAGCGACUUAGCUUCGGUGAGGUCGCAGUGUGGGAAGUGAACCUAGCUUUGGUGUCUAGAGGAAGUAAAAGUCGUAACA
rnacentral:rRNA from 1 species